UGGAUCCAGGCAGCAAUCCCGU
rnacentral:misc_RNA from 1 species